GCCCUAGUAGCUCAGAGAAUUAGAGCAUCGGCCUUGUAAGCCGAACGUCGGAGGUUAAAGUCCCCCUUAGCGCU
rnacentral:tRNA from 1 species